UGCAUUGGAUUGAGAACAAUGUACAACUCUUAUCGAUAAGCCAUUGGAGGGCAAGUCUGGUGCCAGCAGCCGCGGUAAUUCCAGCUCCAAUAGCGUAUAUUAACGUUGUUGCAGUUAAAAAGCUCGUAGUUGAAGUGUGGGUGAUCGCUGUUGUGAGACUUCGGUCUCUCGAUAGUAAGUCACCCCCUUCCAGUAUCCAGUAGUGGGUAUUCAGUUACUUACUAUUGUGUGUUGGUCGUUUACUGUGAGAAAAUUAGAGUGUUCAAAGCAGGCGUUUGCUUGAAUAGAUUAGCAUGGAAUAAUAAUUGAAGGCUUUCGUGUUCGAUUUGAUUGGUUUGUUCAUGGAAGCAAGGUUAAAAGGAACAGUUGGGGGUAUUCAUAUUCACUAGUUAGAGGUGAAAUUCUCGGAUUUAUGGAAGAUGAACAAGUGCGAAAG
rnacentral:rRNA from 1 species